rfam:Parcubacteria (Magasanikbacteria) bacterium GW2011_GWA2_42_32 TV20_C0001, whole genome shotgun sequence.
GGAAGGUUCGCAUAGUGGUCUAGUGCACACGCUUGGAAAGCGUGCAUACCGCAAGGUAUCGAGGGUUCGAAUCCCUCACCUUCCG